CCUACGGGAGGCAGCAGUGAGGAAUAUUGGUCAAUGGGCUUACGCCUGAACCAGCCAAGUCGCGUGAGGGAAGACUGCCCUAUGGGUUGUAAACCUCUUUUGUCAGGGAGCAACGCCGGCUACGUGUAGCCGGACUGAGAGUACCUGAAGAAAAAGCAUCGGCUAACUACGUGCCAGCAGCCGCGGUAAUACGGAGGAGGCGAGCGUUAUCCGGAAUUAUUGGGUGUAAAGGGUGCGUAGGCGGAAUGCCAAGUCAGCGGUAAAAUCGCGGGGCUCAACCUCGCUCCGCCGUUGAAACUGGCGUUCUAGAGUGGGCGAGAGGUAGGCGGAAUGCGUGGUGUAGCGGUGAAAUGCAUAGAUAUCACGCAGAACUCCGAUUGCGAAGGCAGCAGACCGGCGCCCAACUGACGCUGAAGCACGAAAGCGUGGGUAUCGAACAGGAUUAGAUACCCGGGUAGUC
rnacentral:rRNA from 1 species